AUGGCUCAUGUGCUCCAGCUCCGACUGUUAUCUGGGUUGAAGGUAUCUGGGUUGUUUUCCUUACUGGACCCAGCAGAACUCCAUCCCGUGCCGGUGGAAUCGGGUCAGCCGUUCACGCCGGACCUUCCUCAUCCAUCAUCUUCUCUCUGUCUGCAGCAGCCGACUAGCGCCGAGCAACCACGACCGGAUACAGAGGCUGCGGCAGGAGUUCCAGCAGGCCCAGGGCGUCCCGGACGACCCGGACGACCGCAGGAGGACCUACAGCUUCGAGCAGCCCUGGUCGAACGCCGGCGGCACCGACCCCGGCGGGUACGGCCCACCGGGUCGCCACUCCGUGUCCGUGGAGGUUCAGAUGCAGCGGCAGAGACAGGAGGAGAGAGAGUCGUUCGCCCAGGCCCAGCGACAGUACAGCUCGUUGCCACGGCAGCCCAGGAAGAACCCCAGCUCCGUCUCCCAGGACGCCUGGGACAAGGCCUACCCCCCCGGCGAAGGCUUCCAGACGGCGAAGGACAACCCCAGGUACUCCAGUUACCAGGGUUCCAGGAACGGCUAUGCUGGCGGCGGCGGCGUCAACGCCCGAGUCCUCCUGGAGGCCCAGGAGCUCCUGCGGCAGGAGCAGCGGCGGCAGGAGCAGGAGGCCAAAGGGAAGCUGAUGCAGGAGGGCGGCACCACCAGCAGCUACGACGGCUACGCGAGCCUGAAGGACCCGGCGUCCCCGAAGGGUCCGUAUCGCCACGACGUGCCGCCGUCGCCCUCGCAGCUGGCGAGGCUGAAUCGGCUGGGUUCCGAGAAAGGAAGACUGUUUUACUCCUGAGCCGGGCCGAGAAGAACUGA
ensembl:lncRNA